AGUAAAGUCAGCUAAACAAGCUUUUAGGCUCAUGCCCUAAGCAUGACGGUGAAACCCCCUCCUUUGCUA
rnacentral:tRNA from 1 species